rnacentral:rRNA from 1 species
AUUGAACGCUGGCGGAAUGCUUUACACAUGCAAGUCGAACGGCAGCACGGGGGCAGCCCUGGUGGCGAGUGGCGAACGGGUGAGUAAUACAUCGGAACGUGCCCGGUCGUGGGGGAUAACGUAGCGAAAGUUACGCUAAUACCGCAUACGAUCUGAGGAGGAAAGCGGGGGACCUUCGGGCCUCGCGCGAUCGGAUCGGCCGAUGUCAGAUUAGGUAGUUGGUGGGGUAAAGGCCUACCAAGCCGACGAUCUGUAGCUGGUCUGAGAGGACGACCAGCCACACUGGGACUGAGACACGGCCCAGACUCCUACGGGAGGCAGCAGUGGGGAAUUUUGGACAAUGGGCGCAAGCCUGAUCCAGCCAUUCCGCGUGCAGGACGAAGGCCUUCGGGUUGUAAACUGCUUUUGUACGGAACGAAAAGGCUCUGGCUAAUACCUGGGGCUCAUGACGGUACCGUAAGAAUAAGCACCGGCUAACUACGUG